rnacentral:rRNA from 1 species
UGAAUGGGCGCGGCUACCAUGCAGUCGAGCGGUAACAGAUCCAGCUUGCUGGAUGCUGACGAGCGGCGGACGGGUGAGUAAUGCAUAGGAAUCUGCCCGAUAGUGGGGGAUAACCUGGGGAAACCCAGGCUAAUACCGCAUACGUCCUACGGGAGAAAGGGGGCUUCGGCUCCCGCUAUCGGAUGAGCCUAUGUCGGAUUAGCUAGUUGGUGAGGUAACGGCUCACCAAGGCCACGAUCCGUAGCUGGUCUGAGAGGAUGAUCAGCCACAUCGGGACUGAGACACGGCCCGAACUCCUACGGGAGGCAGCAGUGGGGAAUAUUGGACAAUGGGGGGAACCCUGAUCCAGCCAUGCCGCGUGUGUGAAGAAGGCCCUCGGGUUGUAAAGCACUUUCAGCGAGGAAGAACGCCUAGCGGUUAAUACCCGCUAGGAAAGACAUCACUCGCAGAAGAAGCACCGGCUAACUCCGUGCCAGCAGCCGCGGUAAUACGGAGGGUGCAAGCGUUAAUCGGAAUUACUGGGCGUAAAGCGCGCGUAGGUGGCUUGAUAAGCCGGUUGUGAAAGCCCCGGGCUCAACCUGGGAACGGCAUCCGGAACUGUCAAGCUAGAGUGCAGGAGAGGAAGGUAGAAUUCCCGGUGUAGCGGUGAAAUGCGUAGAGAUCGGGAGGAAUACCAGUGGCGAAGGCGGCCUUCUGGACUGACACUGACACUGAGGUGCGAAAGCGUGGGUAGCAAACAGGAUUAGAUAUCCUUGGUAGUCA